rnacentral:rRNA from 1 species
GUCGUCAGCUCGUGUCGUGAGAUGUUGGGUUAAGUCCCGUAACGAGCGCAACCCCUAUCCCUGGUUGCUAGCAGGUAAUGCUGAGAACUCCAGGGAGACUGCCGGUGACAAACCGGAGGAAGGUGGGGAUGACGUCAGGUCAUCAUGGCCCUUACGGCCAGGGCUACACACGUGCUACAAUGGUGCGUACAGAGGGCUGCAAACUCGCGAGAGCCAGCCAAUCCCUUAAAACGCAUCGUAGUCCGGAUCGGAGUCUGCAACUCGACUCCGUGAAGUCGGAAUCGCUAGUAAUCGCGAAUCAGAAUGUCGCGGUGAAUACGUUCCCGGGA